AUUGAACGCUGGCGGCAUGCCUUACACAUGCAAGUCGAACGGUAACAGGUCUUCGGAUGCUGACGAGUGGCGAACGGGUGAGUAAUACAUCGGAACGUGCCCGAUCGUGGGGGAUAACGGAGCGAAAGCUUUGCUAAUACCGCAUACGAUCUACGGAUGAAAGCAGGGGACCGCAAGGCCUUGCGCGGACGGAGCGGCCGAUGGCAGAUUAGGUAGUUGGUGGGAUAAAAGCUUACCAAGCCGACGAUCCGUAGCUGGUCUGAGAGGACGACCAGCCACACUGGGACUGAGACACGGCCCAGACUCCUACGGGAGGCAGCAGUGGGGAAUUUUGGACAAUGGGCGCAAGCCUGAUCCAGCCAUGCCGCGUGCAGGAUGAAGGCCUUCGGGUUGUAAACUGCUUUUGUACGGAACGAAAAGACUCUUUCUAAUAAAGAGGGUCCAUGACGGUACCGUAAGAAUAAGCACCGGCUAACUACGUGCCAGCCGCCGCCGUAAAAC
rnacentral:rRNA from 1 species